rnacentral:rRNA from 1 species
GAUGAACGCUGGCGGCGUGCCUAACACAUGCAAGUCGAGCGAUUCUCUUCGGAGAAGAGCGGCGGACGGGUGAGUAACGCGUGGGUAACCUGCCCUGUACACACGGAUAACAUACCGAAAGGUAUGCUAAUACGAGAUAAUAUACUUUUAUCGCAUGGUAGAAGUAUCAAAGCUCCGGCGGUACAGGAUGGACCCGCGUCUGAUUAGCUAGUUGGUAAGGUAACGGCUUACCAAGGCGACGAUCAGUAGCCGACCUGAGAGGGUGAUCGGCCACAUUGGAACUGAGACACGGUCCAAACCCCUACGGGAGGCAGCAGUGGGGAAUAUUGCACAAUGGGCGAAAGCCUGAUGCAGCAACGCCGCGUGAGCGAUGAAGGCCUUCGGGUCGUAAAGCUCUGUCCUCAAGGAAGAUAAUGACGGUACUUGAGGAGGAAGCCCGGCUAACUACGUGCCAGCAG